rnacentral:antisense_RNA from 2 species
UGUCAUGGCUGGCUGUGCGUGGGAUACCUUCGGGUAUGCCGAAGCUCCAAGUUCGGUCCGCGAACCUGCGUACAGCUGCCACCUCC